rnacentral:antisense_RNA from 1 species
CUUCACCGAGCCCAGCAGCAACGCCUGUUCGUCGGAACCCGGCGUACGUGCCCGUCCGUACGUGGCCAGCAGCGCGUCCGCCUC